rnacentral:pre_miRNA from 1 species
GGAUAUCAUCAUAUACUGUAAGUUCACUAUGAGACACUACAGUAUAGAUGAUGUACUC